UUCAAACACCAGUUCCCGUAUGAUCACUAAAGGUAAGCAAUGUCGAGCAUGGUCAGUACUUAGAUGGGUGACCUCUUGCGAAUACCAGG